GGUGAUCCUGCCAGUAGUCA
rnacentral:rRNA from 1 species